CAUUUUUCUUUAAAGCACAAUUACAAUACCCAGGAAUCCAAUAAUACACUCGGCCAAACCAAUGGAUGAGCACACGCUCAACUCAACACGAUUAACAUAUUACCAAAACUAGAAAAGACUACUCAGCAGCCAAGUCCAAACACCUAUCUACAGUUACCAGACUCCUCAAACAUGUGUGUACGACCGGAAAUUAGAUAACAAAUUGUCCCUUCAGUCUUACAAUAGUCCCAAAUAAGAUACAACAGGCCAAAAACUUAUCCACUUAACACAGAGAUUGAUUAAAACGGUAUAGCAUGCCAAAUAAGAAAAGAAAUACAAAGUAAAACAUAAUUAAAUCAGAAAAAAACUGAAAUUAUGCUUUAAAAUCCUUCUUUCUCAUUUUAUUCUUCAACUCAAAGCUUAACCAAAACAUGUAGAGUUUCAGGAGACAUGUACCUGUGAAUGAAAAGGCAAAGGGAAAAGUAAGGAAUCAACAGUAUGCAGAAAUCAACACCAGUAGCAGAACAGUCCCAGAUUCAACUAAACUCAGCAGUGAAAUUGAACCAGAAGAAGGAAACCUAUUCAACAACUUGAACUAAAUCUUGCACCAACCAAGUUUAAACCAUUUUUGACAUCAAUUAGGAUCAGCUAUUGUUUAGAAGAUGAAUGAAAACUUCAAAGUUCAAAACCAAAAUUCUAAUGGAACAGUAGUUUUCUUUAAAUUUCAGUCGUUUGCUGUUUUUCAGAAUUCUCUCUCUCUCAUCUCUGCCUUGAAAGGCAAGAAAGUAUGUCUUUAUAGGCAAGGGAAGUAGGGCAGCCUAGAAAAGUUCAGUUUUGCAAUUAGGCCUUUUUCCUAUUUUUGUUUUUGCCUAGAUCAGAUUUUCAAAAAACAGUCCAAAAGCUAGCUUCUCAAAAGCUUCUUAGGCAGUUAACUAAGAUUCCCCUAGGCUAAUUGCCCAGAUUACCCCCUCACACCCUUGUUUCUUACUACCGUAAACCCAAAUGGGUACGGGUCAUUUUGACCCAAGGUUUUAAUUUAACCAAACAGACUAAAUCCCUCCCUUUUGACCCAAAGCAAAUCCAGUUUUCACAAGAAUCAAUUGGGCAGAAAAUAAACGGGCAAGGGAAUUCAAAGGUCCCUUGGCCCAAAAUCUCAAAUUAGCCCACAACACUAAAAACUAAUAGCAAUUGACAAAACUAAUACAACGAAUCCAAAUAGACUAAAUAAAGUAAAAACAAAUGUCAAUUAAGCCUUACUAAACGGGACACAUGUGAAAUGAUUUUAGGGAAAAAAAUCAUUUCGCUAAAAAUGAUUUUAGAGAAGAAGAAGAAAUUGAUUCCAAACUCAAACCUUCAAAACCUCGCCGAUUCGGACUUUUUGGGAUUUUAGGGUUGUCUCUUCAAAUCAAGAUUCGAGAAGUUACGUUAAGAUUCUAGGGUAGCGGAUUAUAGAUUAGGGAAGAAGGAGCCGGGGUGGGUCUGUGGUGCGAUUUUGGUGGGGAUUGGGAGUGGCGCCGCCACCUUAAGGCGGUGGGAAUUAGGGGCGGCGGGUUAGGGUUCCGUAAAAUUUGGUCUCUGAAGGAGAGUGAAUUGGGAGAGAUGAUAUGGGGGGUAGUGGAGUUCAGACACUAAUAUAAUAAUCCCCACCCCAGUUCCCAACUGUAGGAUCA
rnacentral:lncRNA from 1 species